UGCAGUCGAGCGGGGGAGGUUGCUUCGGUAACUGACCUAGCGGCGGACGGGUGAGUAAUACUUAGGAAUCUGCCUAUUAAUGGGGGACAACAUCUCGAAAGGGAUGCUAAUACCGCAUACGCCCUACGGGGGAAAGCAGGGGAUCACUUGUGACCUUGCGUUAAUAGAUGAGCCUAAGUCGGAUUAGCUAGUUGGUGGGGUAAAGGCCUACCAAGGCGACGAUCUGUAGCGGGUCUGAGAGGAUGAUCCGCCACACUGGGACUGAGACACGGCCCAGACUCCUACGGGAGGCAGCAGUGGGGAAUAUUGGACAAUGGGGGGAACCCUGAUCCAGCCAUGCCGCGUGUGUGAAGAAGGCCUUAUGGUUGUAAAGCACUUUAAGCGAGGAGGAGGCUCUCUUGGUUAAUACCCAAGAUGAGUGGACGUUACUCGCAGAAUAAGCACCGGCUAACUCUGUGCCAGCAGCCGCGGUAAUACAGAGGGUGCGAGCGUUAAUCGGAUUUACUGGGCGUAAAGCGUGCGUAGGCGGCUUUUUAAGUCGGAUGUGAAAUCCCCGAGCUUAACUUGGGAAUUGCAUUCGAUACUGGGAAGCUAGAGUAUGGGAGAGGAUGGUAGAAUUCCAGGUGUAGCGGUGAAAUGCGUAGAGAUCUGGAGGAAUACCGAUGGCGAAGGCAGCCAUCUGGCCUAAUACUGACGCUGAGGUACGAAAGCAUGGGGAGCAAACAGGAUUAGAUACCCUGGUAGUCCAUGCCGUAAACGAUGUCUACUAGCCGUUGGGGCCUUUGAGGCUUUAGUGGCGCAGCUAACGCGAUAAGUAGACCGCCUGGGGAGUACGGUCGCAAGACUAAAACUCAAAUGAAUUGACGGGGGCCCGCACAAGCGGGGAGCAUGUGGUUUAAUUCGAUGCAACGCGAAACCUUACCUGGUCUUGA
rnacentral:rRNA from 1 species